GACAGAGGUCCCGAGCGUUAGGCGGAAUCACUGGGCUUAAAGCGUGUGUAGGCGGACUUGUAAGUACCUUGUGAAAUCCCACGGCUUAACCGUGGAACUGCUUGGUAUACUGCUUGUCUUGGGCCACUUAGGGGCUACCGGAACAAACGGUGGAGCGGUGAAAUGCGUAGAUAUCUGGAGGAAUACCGGUGGCGAAGGCGGCAUCCUGGACCGAGAUUGACGCUGAGGUGCGAAAGCGUGGGGAGCAAACAGG
rnacentral:rRNA from 1 species